rnacentral:rRNA from 1 species
GGACUGUAGGCUGCAACUCGCCUACACGAAGCUGGAAUCGCUAGUAAUCGCGGAUCAGCACGCCGCGGUGAAUACGUUCCCGGGCCUUGUACACACCGCCCGUCACACCAUGAGAGUCUGUAACACCCAAAGCCGGUGGGAUAACCUUUAUAGGAGUCAGCCGUCUAAGGUAGGACAGAUGAUUAGGGUGAAGUCGUAACAAGGUAAC